UUGAACGAGCAUUGUCUUGGUCUGGGG
rnacentral:sRNA from 1 species